AAAAUCAGCCUUACAAAAUGUUAACACUCUGGCAAGUGUACCAGAUCGUUCCAAGUAAUAUAAUUGGUAAAUCGUUCAUGCAAAUUGAAAUCGUAAGACUUGUAAAGAAAAUUAAUUUGUAGUUUGGAUAUAAAAACAAAAAGUAAACAUGCAAAUGCAAUUGAUUCAGUUGAUGAGAAAAAGACUAUGGAUGAAUGGAGUUGUUGGAGUUUACAAUUUCAUCUUAUGCACUCUCUCUUAUCUACUCCUCUUAUUUGAUUUGCUUUGUUAUCUAAUUGUCAUGCAAACUUUCUUAGUCUACCCUUAACUCGAUCCCUCGGCGAAGAAAGCCUAUUACUAAUUAUUGGCUUGUUAUCCCUAACCUCCCCUAGUAAUUAGUAAUGCAUGAUAAACAAAAGCAAAAACAAUUUGUUGGUGUCGGAGGGGUAUGGUUUUCGAAGAGUAAAACGCAGCUGAAUUAAAACACAGAGAGCGUAAAGCGUAUUAGGUCACAGUUGAAACGAUUUUGGCCUUUUUUACAAAAGUAAUUUUCUUUCGGAAAAUUAACCAAACAGUUGAUAUGCGUUAAGUAAAAUAAGUGUAGGGAAUAGAAAAAUCACACAGAUAUUUUUAUACUGGUUCGAUUCAACAGAAUCUACGUCCAGUCGUUAAUCACUACAAAUAGUGAUUAACAGUUCCACUAAAAAUAGUUUAACAAGUUACAAUCAAAUGAACAGAAAUAGAACGAAAAGAACCACUCU
rnacentral:lncRNA from 1 species